AGUGGAAUGGCUGAGGUUUAAGCGAUAAACUGUAAAUUUAUUAACGAGUUGUAACUCUUCUACUA
rnacentral:tRNA from 1 species